GAAGAAAUAUAUUAUACAAACUUACACACACACACAUAUAUACACUCAGUGGAAAGAAUGAGGAAGUGGCUGAGAGAUGUGAUGUGAAGGAGACACAGGAGAGAGAGACAGAGAAGGCUGCAAUGGUUGGGACAUGUGAGGAGAGAGACAGGUGGCAGGGAAGGGAAUAAGGAAGUGGCUGAGAGAUGUGAUGUGAAGGAGACACAGAGGAGACAGAGAAGGCUGCAAUGGUUGGGACAUGUGAGGAGAGAGACAGGUGGCAGGGAAGGGAAUAAGGAAGUGGCUGAGAGACGUGGUGUGAAGGAGACACAGAGAAGAGAGAAACAGAGAAGGCUGCAAUGGUUGGGACAUGUGAGGAGAGAGACAGAGGGCGGUGGAGGUGCCCGGGAGGAGACCAGUUGUAAGACCAAGGAGAGCAUGGAGAGGAACAGUGACACAAGACUUGGGAGUGUUGAAAAUAGAGGAAGGAUUAGCACCGGACCAGCAAGAUGGAGGAGGACCAUGGCAAGUCACACCCCAGGAAAGGGAGAAGAUGGACCAUAAGCCAAGAAGAUGCUGAUGACCCUUUUCUAACUAUCCCCGUCUUGAUGCUGCUCCUCUUCCUCCUUUUCAUCCAGGCUUCCUUCUAUUCUCUUCCUCUUCUUUCAUAAUUUCUUCCUCUCCUCCAUUCCUUUUCUUUCUGUUCGUGAUUUUUCGUAAUAUUUUCUUGUCCAUCUUUCUCCUCUUUCUUUCCCUAGUCUUUUCAUUCCUUUCUUUCUUUUCUGUUCUUGUUGUUCCUCCAUGUCUGUCUUUCUCUCUUUGUCUUCUCUUUCUUCUUGUUCUUCAGCCAGGGCGGGGUUGCCAAACACUGUCCUCCACCGCCACCACAUACAGCAGCACCACACAACACCUCAGGGGAAGUGGAUCUUCAUGUGCCUGGCAAUACUCCACUUGGUCUUGAAAUGUUUUAGACAAACAUCACACUUGAACUCUCUCAGAUCAGAGUGUGUGACAACGUGGCUGUUCAAAGCAGACUUAGAAAAGAAGCUUCUGUCACACUCAAGGCAUUCAUGAGGUCUUUCACCAGUGUGUUUAUGUAUGUGUAUAUUUAGUUCACUCUUCACACUGAACCUUCUGUCACACUCAGGGCAUUCAUGAGGUCUUUCACCAGUGUGUGUAAGGGUGUGUGUGUUAAGGUGACUCUUCUGAGUGAACACUUUGCCACACUCUUGGCAUUCAUGAGGUCUUUCACCAGUGUGUGUAAGGGUGUGUUUUUUAAGGUCACUCUUCGUACUGAACACUUUGCCACACUCUUGGCAUUCAUGAGGUCUUUUACCAGUGUGUGUAAGGGUGUGUAAUUUGAGGCUACUCUUCCUAUUGAACACGUUGCCACACUCUUGGCAUUCAUGAGGUCUUUCACCAGUGUGUGUAAGGGUGUGUGUGUUAAGGCUACUCUUCCUAGUGAACACUUUGCCACACUCUUGGCACUCAUGAGGUCUUUCACCAGUGUGUGUAAGGGUGUGUGUGUUAAGGCUACUCUUCCUACUGAACACUUUGCCACACUCCUGGCAUUCAUGAGGUCUUUCACCAGUGUGUGUAAGGGUGUGUGUGUUAAGGGCACUCUUCCAACUGAACACUUUGCCACACUCCUGGCAUUCAUGAGGUCUUCCACCAGAGUGUGUGGGUGUGUUUGUUGAGGUCACCCUUCCCAGGGAGUCUUUUCCC